rnacentral:lncRNA from 1 species
UUUUUUUGAACCAUUAGAAGAUUGCAUUAACAAUCACCCUUUAGUAGGACAAAAAGGUUACAAGGCAGGAUAGUAACCUAACAACUAGGAAGAUCACCUUUCAAAGUUGUUCGUACUAUCCAAUCAGCUACCUUGUUACAAAACCCGGGAGCAUAAUGAGAUUUACAUGAAUCAAAAGCUUGAACUUUGUCCAAAAUCGAUUAGACAAUGAGCAAAAUCUCCCAAGGCAAGAAUCUCUAGAGUUUAUAAGACACAGAUUGUCAGAUUCAAAAAUACAUUUGCUGACUUUCAUGGUAGAAGGUAGGUUAAUUGCAUUAAGGAGCCCCUUUGCCUCAACAACAAGCGGGGGAAGAGGCUUGAACAAUACGGGAAUUCCCAUCUAGCAGGACGCCUUUGUAGUCUCUGCAAAUAGCAGCCACUCCAGCAAUGCCUCUAUUGCUAUCAAAAGCUGCAUCAAUGUUGAACUUAAAAAAACCUCUCCCCGAGGCUAACUAUUUCAAAGGCUGUUGGGAUUAUAUCCCCACUUUCUCGCCCUAAGGGCAAGCUUGAGAGAUCUCUGCUGCUUCUUUCCUAGUAGUUAAAAUAGUAUGCAGAGGGUUAGAAUUAAUACUAUUGUACACAAAAUCAUUCCUGGCCUUUCAAAUGUGCCAACAGAUAACCCCUAUAUGUACCAACAUGCCUUGGUUACCAGCUUCUUGAUCAAGUUCAGUUACCUGUUUCCACCAGUCAAAGAAAGAGAACUGUUUAUCAAGGUGUGGUACAAAACUAAGGUUGGAUGACAACUAGGAGGCCC